rnacentral:lncRNA from 10 species
AGGAGUCCUGCUCCUAACUCAUCAGAAACUAUUUUGUCAUGGCAGCCCUAGCAAACUACUACAGGGACUGUGAGGGUUAAGAUGACACCAAACAUCAAAUGCCACUCCCUGUUCCAACACUGAGACCAUUCCACAGCCUCUGAAUGACAAGACAGGCCUUCAAAAUCAAGACCACCUGGCUAGAUUCUGGAUAUUAGCCUUCUGUCAGAUGGAUAGAUUAAAGCUUGCAAGCUGAAACUCAACAACUUAUGUAAACUUCUGGAGAAAUCACAGCAACUUACAUAUAAACAACCCUUGUGCCUGCUGAUGUGUGGACUACAGAAAAGGUACACAUGAACACUGUAUUCAGACUGCAAUUUAGAGAAAUGUGUCAGAUUACCACUGCAAUUGGAAGAUGCUUCAGAAACUCUAGAAAACCUAGUCUAUAGACUGCUCCAGACAUUACAGGGUUCACUCUCAAGCUCUGGCUCAAUAAAACUCAAUUGGUCAAGACCCUUGCCUCAGUCAGUCUUUCUGGAUAUCCACCAUGAGUCCUGCAAAGCCCUUCAGUAAUCUAUUGCCUGCCUAGGUGAUGUGUACCCAGGUGAGUCAGGUCUUCAUGAGUCAAACACUCGUCUUCCUUUUCUGUCUUUCCCAACCCUACCACUCAGUGCUGUGUGCUCUGAUCUGAC